UUUUUUUUUUUAAUUAAGAAACUAAAGGUGCUUGACUUUUUUUCUCAACCUGUUUAGUGUUUUUAAAAUGAUUUGGUAAUCUUCAUAGGUGAUCUUUUUUGAGUAGGGUAGAAGAGUUCAUUGGUGGAUGGAAGCUAUUUGGGAACUUGGUUUGUGGAGCACUUGAGUUGUGGUAGAUAUGGAUCUGUUGGUGAAGACUAAUGCCUGAACAAUUGUUAAAAAAAAUGAGAAUUUGCUAAAUUGUUAAUAUUUUGGUGUCUGUGUGUGAGCUAUUUGUAUGGCGCUUAUAGUUUCUUUAGCACUAAUGCACGCAUGUAUCCCUCCAAAGCAAGGGAGAUGACAUAAUUCUUUUCAUUCAUAGUGUACAAUUUCACUUGGCUUUGCCUUUGGGAGCAAAUAAAUUCAAUAAUUGUUUUAGAAACAUUAUAGAUAUACACAUAUAAAAUUAAUAAAAUUCACUUUUGAAAACAUUGAUGUUAUGGUUAUAAAAGACUCUAUACAUAGUAUGGAAAAUUUGAUUAUAAAGUAUGUGUUAGACUCCAGAAAUUGACUUUUGGGCAUGAGAGUUGUUUGCAUAGGUUAAUUAUUUUGUACAUACUUGGUGACUACACAUGAGUUGGCAAAAAGUAGAUUCUCAUAGCUUCCUGAAGUUGCAAAAUCGGUAGAAAUAUUACAUGAUUUACAUUCCUAUAUAGAGCUUGUUUGG
rnacentral:misc_RNA from 1 species